rnacentral:rRNA from 1 species
UACAGAGGUCCCAAGCGUUGUUCGGAUUCAUUGGGCGUAAAGGGUGCGUAGGCGGCGCGGUAAGUCGGGUGUGAAAUCUCGGGGCUUAACUCCGAAACUGCAUUCGAUACUGCCGUGCUUGAGGACUGGAGAGGAGACUGGAAUUUACGGUGUAGCGGUGAAAAUGCGUAGAUAUGCGGAGGAACACCGAUGGCGAAGGCAAUCCCCUGGGCCUGCCACUGACGCUCAUGCACGAAGCGU